CUACGGGAGGCAGCAGUGGGGAAUUUUGGACAAUGGGGGCAACCCUGAUCCAGCCAUGCCGCGUGAGUGAAGAAGGCUUCGGGUUGUAAAGCUCUUUCAGCCGGAACGAAACGGUUACGGUUAAUACCCGUGACUACUGACG
rnacentral:rRNA from 1 species